GUGCUUGCUUUGGCAGCACAUAUCCUAAAAUUGGAAUGAUACACAGAAGAUUAGCAUGGCCCCUGUGCAAGGAUGACAUGCAAAUUCGUGAAGUGUUCCAUAUCUUA
rnacentral:snRNA from 1 species